UUCACCGGGUCCCGCUUGUGCAAUGUGGAAUUAGUUUACAGCUUUUUCAAGCAGUUUGUGAUGCAUUUUGGAAACAGGAGAUGUACAUUUCUAAUGCACCAUCUAGCUUAAUAAACCCCUUCUCAAAGACUUACUGUUUGUCAAUUUUAUUUGGGUAACACACAUAUUCUGAAUGCCGUCGACAAAAUUCGAAUGAGCCAUUUUAAUCUAGAUUAGAAAUAAUUAAUUUAAUUAAUUACUACAAUUUCAGUAGCCCAUGUCAAGGCCAAACUUUAAAAGCAUCUCUCUGCAGUUAUUUUCAAAAUUCACAACUGUGUAACAGUUAGGAACAACAUAACUAUAUUUGAAACGGAUAUCUAAUGCCGCAAAUUAGCAGAUGCUAAAGUGCGGCUUACAACAGAAAGUGAAGCUGCUAAAUCCUUUGGGCAAAUCCAUUUUGUUCACUAAAUAACAGUUCAAUAAAUUACUUUGAGAGAUCAGAGGAUCCAUCAAACCGAGUGCGACAGCAGCAGAACUUGAUCCUGACAUCUUACAUUGGCUAGGUGACCUGAAGUUGAGUGGUUAAACCAGCAGCGGGAUUGAAGAGGCAUGACUUCUUAGGGAUAUUAGGAAAGUACUCAUUCAAAUGACAGCAAUCUGGAAUUCAUUUCAGUGUGUGACCUCUAUGACUCCGUCAACUCAACGGUCUUACAGCGACACAACAUGUCAGGAAUGAUCACCCAAUCACAUUAUGACAGUAAAACAAUGUGUCCGCUUACAUUAAUAUGAUGCGGAAACCUGUUCUUUCUCGUUCAAGUUCAUCACCAAAUCAUUUUGACAGAUUAAAAAGUUGCCCGAGAUGCAAAGCCUUGUUUGACCUAGUUAUCUGUUUAUUUUCAGAACCAUUUCGACCGACCCUACAAUUAUUCAAGCUGAAACGUUAAAUAUCCUUAAGGAGUGAACGGCACAGCUCAAAGUACCUGACCUCAGCUAACUUUGAUAAAUUAUGACAUUAAGUUCAAGUGCCUGCUCAAAUUUGGCCAAAAGUCCUGCUCCACUUUGAAGCGAGCCAUCAACCACAGUAAAUGUCCAAUUCUCGUCAACUUGCGCUCGGAGUCUCUGACAGAGGUGAUCUGCCCUCUUUGAGGCUGCUGCGUGGCAGUGAACGCUAACUGUCUGUUUCCCAGCAUUCACGUGGAAUAAACGAUGUGCUAGGUCAUUAACUUGAGCUACGCUGAUCCUCUCUGUGUUCAGAUAUCAGAGAAGGCGGGUGUGUCUCGUGAUGCUGUACUGAGGUACAGUUGACAACAAUUCACCGUGGAGCAAGAACACAGUUUUGACAACAGUCCAGUGGAGCUUGCUGUAUCUGACAGAUGAGUUUAGACCCUGCCACCACAAUGAUUUCAUCCCAAGAAAAUCUGUGGAUCGAACGGGGGAACGGAGGUCACGGGUUACUCAUUUGUCUUCAUAAACGAUUCCAUUGGCCUGUCACAUGAUCAUUAUAAUGCAAUCAGGGCUCAUUGCGCACAGAUCAGUUUCGCCAUCAAAAAGACAAGUUGCUCAACAUCUGCCAGGACUCUGUGUCUCAGCAUCUGAGAGGGUUGAGGAACCCCCCGACAUGAACACAGCAACCAUAUCAACCUAAGCAAGAGAAGGGAAAUUUGAGGACCCCGCAUCGAUCCCGCCAUAAAAAUAUCCAAACCAUAUGGCUUGCCUCUUCCCUCAUAAAUUACAAUAAUAAAGUCCUGGGGUUCGAGACAGUGAAAGCCACGCUAACCUGCUCUAAACUCUUGGCAGGACUAAAAGCACACAGGAAAUACUAUCCUGCAUCUCAGAUGUCCCAAACUCAAGUCACAAAUCACGCACAAAUAUGAAUAAUGCUUAGACUGCAUUAGCAAUCACUUUUAAAGCUGAUUAGAACGCAGGCAUGGGGUAUCCAUUUGUGUGAUAUAUUUGCUGUCAGUCUCCUGAGAUGAUCCAGCACGACUGGGAAGCAGACCAAAGCCCUGAAUACCGCAGCUAUGUUAUUGCGAAUGGGCUGGACAGGCUGACUGGAAUUCAUGUCCUUGUCCAUCAUGCUGAUAUAUUCUCCAUCCUGAGGUAUCACUUAACACUCACCAGUGUUUCUUUUGUGUAUAUAUUAAUACAUUAUCCAGGAGGGACUGCUUCAUCACAGGUGCUGUAAUUUUAUGAGGCAAAGCUGUACUGAUUAAAGUCUCUAAAGCAAUGACAUAGCGGCUUUAGCAGUGUAUUAACUGCUGCUGCUGGGCUAAUGUUAAAAGAUUUGGGUUGCAAAGACCAUACUUGUUGACACAGAAAUCAGAGUUGCAUGUACAUUCUAUUAUAAUAACAAUUAAUGAUGCAUAUUUACAUGCAAGUAACCCUAGGCCUAGCCCAAAUCCGUACCCUAACCAUAUAGUAAGCACAUGUAGCUAAUUAAUAUUACUCAGUACUUAAAUGUAUAAUUACACUGUAACAAGGACAUUUUUUAUCAUGACAAUUUCAAUUGAAUUGAGAAAUCCAGUUGCUACAUAACCUUCCUUUGGAAUUGGAUUCAAAUAUUCAGAAUGUGUGUGUGUUUUUUUAAAUGAAGUUCCAGCUCACUUGAGUAAAACAUUGAGUGUUUGUUUGCUUAAUUUCAUUGCGGAUUCAUUAGCAAACAAGACACAGGUCGAGCCUGGAUUUGCAGAGAGACUGAGAUUAAAAAGCUAUUUCUUUAUUGGAUCCAACAGGAAUGGUGCAACACAUUUAUGAGUAAAAAUAUUUUUUGUCACUAUAGGUUUGUAAGAGAUUGCUUGAUAUGUCCUGAUUAUGUGUUUGUGUCUAAAGUCGCAGAAGGCUCCAACUAUGAAGGAUGUAACUUGUCAAACAGACACAAAGAAAGUUAGUUUACUAUGCACAACUAUUAUCCAAUCAUAGCAGUGGCCAUUUACUUCCAAGUGUUCAAUGCGGCACGCUCAUAAAAACAGAGCAUUUCUUGAGCUGGCUUCAAAACCAUGGUAGAAAAUAGCCUAAUACUUAUUGAUUUUGAUGUUUUGAACAUAAAACCACACAAAUGUCAUAAGUGGACAUCAGACAAUAGAAUAAAAUCAUUUUGAAAAAGCCAAUUCAUGACCCCUUUAGAAUUUUCUUUUUUCAUAUAUUUAAAAAGUAAUUUAUUCCUGUGAUGGCAAAGCUUCAUUUUCAGCAACCAUUACUUCAGUCUCACAUACGCCAGUACCACAUGAUCCUUCGGAAAUCAUUGCAAUAUGAUGAUUUGAUGCUCAAGUAACCCUUCUUAUUCUUAUCAAUGUUGAUAAUACAUACUUACACAUACUGAUACAUUUGUACAUGGGUUUUUUUUUAAUGGAAAAAAUGGAAUCUGGUCACUAGUACAUGCUAGCUUUUGAAACAUCGACUUUGUUUCCAGACGGACUGAUAAAAGAAUACGAGUGCCUUCACUCACAAAAGUUUUGUAAAACCAGCCAGUCAGAUUUGACAUGAGACUAGGGUUGGAGGGACUUCUUAUGAGGCCUAUUUAAUUCAUAAACACUACAGCAGACUUUUGAGAGCAUUUUUCUUUGAGCAUCCCAAGGAGCACAGCUACCAUUAGAUAUUAACAUGCCUUAUUAAUUUGAAUCAUUAAAAAUAAAUGAUCUCUUGCUUUCAUAUUCCAAUGACUGCACCAAAGUACAAACAAAUAUGUUAAAUGAUAUUAAAAUAAACAACACCAUCUCAACAGCGUCAUGUUGAAACACUUCACCACAUUUCAGCUGCGCCUUCGGAGACUCAUUCCACUACAUCAAACGGCAAACUAUAAGAGGAGAAAAGAAAGAAAGACAAAGGAAAAAAAAAAACAAUGGUGUUGAUGACACGUCCUCAAAUUCAACACAAACAGAAUUAUUCAACGAAUGCAGUGCCAUCUCAUAUGGAGAUAAUGACACUGAAGACAGAGAAGCCAUCUCAGAACAGUUCGGGAUGCCAAGCCCGAGUUCAGCAGUUGAAACUGUCAGGGAAGUCUGCCCUGGUGUUUUAAUCUACCCUGCUCAGAGGAAAGAAAG